GCCUCUGUGGUAUAGUGGUAGCACGCAUCCCGGGUAUGGAUGAAACGUGGUUUCAACUCCUGUCUGAAGUU